rnacentral:rRNA from 1 species
UACGGAGGGUGCAAGCGUUAAUCGGAAUUACUGGGCGUAAAGCGCGCGUAGGCGGCAUAGCAAGUUGGAUGUGAAAUCCCUGGGCUUAACCUGGGAACUGCAUCCAAAACUGCUAAGCUAGAGUACAGAAGAGGUCAAUGGAAUUUCCAGUGUAGCGGUGAAAUGCGUAGAGAUUGGAAGGAACAUCAGUGGCGAAGGCG